UGUGUGUGUGUGUGUGUGUGUGUGUAUCUGUGUGUGGGUUGGCAUUCAUCACGUCCUGGGGACAACAAACUGUUUACACAGUCACGUCAUGGGGACCUCUAACAGUAUGGGGACGAAAAAUGAGGUCCCCUAAAGGGAAACUCUUUUAAAUGAAUGCAGGAGUCUAUCUGAAGGUGCCUGUGUGGUUUUUAGCUUUGGCCCAUUGGGCAUGUUUUCCAGUUAGUGUGUGUGUGUGAACGGGGCAUGCUUGCGCCCCUUACUGUAUGAGCUGGUAAGGCACUCACCGUUCCACACACACAGAUCUUCCAAAUAUGGUAUGUUACCGCCCACUUCCUGGUCCCCAUUAAGAAGGAUUUUAGGAGCAAACACAAUUUUCAGUGUUUAAAGGGAGCAUCGCAAAGGCUCUUCAAUUAAAGAUGUUUGUCACAUAAAAAGAGGAACUACAACACCACAAGGUAAGCAAUAUUAUCUUAUUUACUUACUUGCUAUAAUCAUUAUUUGUAUAGAUGACCAUUUUAAACCACUAAUGAGGUUAAUUAGUGUUAAUUAGUUAGUAGGAUAGCAAGUUAGCUUUAAUUAGCAACAGAAGGCUAGUGUAACUAGCAAAUUUACAAUGUUUUACUAACAAUGUUUUUAGCUUUCCCUGAAAGCUACUGUUAGUUGUUACAUGAUGGAUGGAUUCUGUGCAUUUCUAGGAGUUUAUACCAACUAAAAAAAGUGAAAUAUUUUUCAGUGUGUAACAGAGAAAUUUAAAAUACAUUUCCAGGUAAUGAAUUUAGUAAUAUAUAGAGGUGUAACUUAAUCCUAGGUAUAUAUAGGUGAGAUAUAUUAUAGAAAAAUUGUAAAGAGAUGUUUUGAUGAUUUAAAGCAAGCUGUCCAUGUUAAGAGAAAGUGCAUCUGGACAGGUAUUUUUGGGACCUGAGCUUGACAAGGCUGCAAUUUGAUGUUUGUAUCUUUAAAGUGACUAGUGAAGUGAUUCCACAUGCCUCCUCUACAUAAAUGGGUCCUGAUUGAUUUUACUACCAGAAAAAAGUAAACUUAGCUUACUUAUAAUUAUUAAUAUUAUUUUAUUAUUAAAAAUGAAUAAUUUAGAAUAGGGCAUGGCAAGAAGGGAAGGCAUCUGACACUGAGCCGACAGGAAAGGGCGAGUAUGGGGAAAAAAGUUAUAGAGCUAAGCCUCUGAACACCCACACAGUUUUUUCAGUUUAUCUUGCUGAUUAUUAGUCUUCUUGGGACUGUAUGGGUGUGUAUACUGUGAUUGAUUGACAUCUUCCUGAGUCUUCUGUCAGCUUUGUUACACCUGUUAGGGCAGGACAAAAUAUACCUUCACCAUUCGUAUUGGAGAUUUAGAUUUGUGACCUCAUGGAGUUUCAUCAAAGCUUAAGCCCACCCUAAACCUGAGCAGAGGUCUAAUCAGCCAUAAUAACUGAAAACACCUGUGUGGAUGUUCACUUAGAGCCUCUAAUUGUAUUGUAAUAGAACUAAAGCCAAAGCUGUCUCAUUAAACAUUUCUCUGCAGUUUUAAAUGCCACCAAGGUCAGUCCUCUUAAGGAUGCCCUUCAGCAUGUUCACUUCAUAUACAUAUUGAAAAUGAUUUUGAGACAUUUAAUUGCAAAACUUCAGGAUGCAUUAGAUAAGCUUAGGUCAAUAAAGCUGCCAUCAAAUGCACUAAUAAUUGGCAAUUGUGUUUUUAGGACAUAUUGCCACAGACUAAUUAACAUUCGUAAUGUCCUGUUUUUUUUGAAAAUGUAUUACUUUGUCUUACAGGACGUGGUGUAUUUGCCCUAUCUUCAUUCUUCAAAGGAGAUUUUGUACUGGAAUACAGAGGAGACAUGAUAGAUGAUGCAGAAUCUCAAUGGAGAAGGUGCAUUUAUCACUCAUCAUGUGUUGCAUUCAUGCUUCAUUCAAGUGGAGAGGGAGAACAUGGUGAUGACCAUGAAUGCAGCUGAUGCUGUCAUUCCUGUGGAAAGCUCCCACCAUGCUGUCUUGUUAGAGACGCAGAUGACUGAAACUUUGAGUCCAUGAGACACUAAUCAACAGAUGACCAUGAAUGCAGCUGAUGCUGUCAUUCCUGUGGAAAGCUCCCAGCAUGCUGUCUUGUUAGAGACGCAGAUGACUGAAACUUUGAGUCCAUGAGACACUAAUCAACAGAUGACCAUGAAUGCAGCUGAUGCUGUCAUUCCUGUGGAAAGCUCCCAGCAUGCUGUCUUGUUAGAGACGCAGAUGACUGAAACUUUGAGUCCAUGAGACACUAAUCAACAGAUGACCAUGAAUGCAGCUGAUGCUGUCAUUCCUGUGGAAAGCUCCCAGCAUGCUGUCUUGUUAGAGACGCAGAUGACUGAAACUUUGAGUCCAUGAGACACUAAUCAACAGAUGACCAUGAAUGCAGUUGAUGCUGUCAUUCCUGUGGAAAGCUCCCAGCAUGCUGUCUUGUUAGAGACGCAGAUGACUGAAACUUUGAGUCCAUGAGACACUAAUCAACAGAUGAAAGGCACAGAUGUUGAAGAUUCAAAUGAAGUAUCCGACUCUAUACAAGUUUGUAUUGUUGCUUUCAGUUUUGUCUUGAGAGAACGCAAAUGAGCAGGACUCAAUAAAAAGUUUAAAUGUAUAAUUUAAAUGAGAGUUUGACUUCUUGAACUAAGGAAAUUAUUUUUUACUAUGAAGUAAUGCAGCAAACAACACAGACAAACGUGAAUACUAGUUUUAGGGUUGUUGAGUAUUCUGUGACUGAGAAGUACAAUAUUCCACAGUUUCUGGGUAGUUGACUGUGGUUAAAAAUAAGAACCAUGUGAGACGUAAACGAAGAAAAACCCUUACAGUGAAAUUAAGGUUGAAAAGUUUGAUGGGUGAGACAACAAUUUAGUAAUUCACUACUAAAUUCUUGGUACUUAAGUGACCCCUGAUAUCAAGAUUAAGUUAGAACAAUGUCUCUAGUAUAAAUGAUAUGUAAAUCAUUUGAUUCCCAUUUUAUUUGUAUAACAAAUUGUAUGUUUACCCUGUUUUCGCUAUAAAUAAAAACUAAAAAAGUA